rnacentral:rRNA from 1 species
ACAAGUACCGUGAGGGAAAGUUGAAAAGCACUUUGAAAAGAGAGUGCAAGAGAACGUGAAACCGUUAUAGUGGAAGCGGAUAGAGGCGACGUAUCUUCCACGUAUUCAGCCAAUUUUUCGGGCAAUUUUUGCUCGGAAGUUCUGCAAAGUCUUCUUUGCAAUUUGUUGUUCGCAAAAUUGGUGCAUUUGCGUGCAGAGUGCGCCGAAUCAUUCGAGCGCGCUGUUUGAGGCUUGUGAAGAGGACCAAACUCGUUUGGAAACUUUUGCAUGCGGAUGACAGUCGAGUUUGAUUGUAAGAUUGGAGAUGUAUGCGGAUGAAUGUGCAGUUUUGAGCUGUUUUUGUACGAUGCAUGCGUUUUGCAUUUAUGGCUUUUGACCGUGCAGUCGUUUGCCCAUUUUCGAAUUCGGUGUUUAGUCGCUCACCUAUUCGACCCGUCUUGAAACACGGACCAAGGAGUUUAAGGUGUACGCAAGUCAUUGGCGGUUGAAAGUCAAAGGCGUAAUGAAAGUGGGACACUUAGUGUCUGUGGUGUGAUUUUUUGGAGUUUCGACUCCUCGAAAGCAACAUCGACCCAUGACUAGGACUUGUUCUGUUGUGGAGUCUGAGCGUACGCUUUGAGACCCGAAAGAUGGUGAACUAUGCCUGAACAGGACGAAGUCAGAGGAAACUCUGAUGGAAGUCCGAAGCGGUUCUGACGUGCAAAUCGAUCGUCUGAUUUGGGUAUAGGGGCGCAAGACUAAUCGAACCAUCUAGUAGCUGGUUCCUUCCGA